AACAAUAAGGGGGGGACCUAUUGUCCCCCCCGCCCCCACCCCUGCGCGGCGGGUGGGGGCCAUAUUGAUAAUGAGGGGGGGACCUACUGCCCCCCCGGCCCCCACCCCUGCGUGGCGGGUGGGGGCCAUAUUGAUAAUGAGGGGGGGACCUACUGCCCCCCCAGCCCCCACCCCUGCGCGGCGGGUGGGGGCCAAAUUGAUAAUGGGGGGG